CUGAUUUAUUCUUGCUGCAUUAUAAUAGAAGCCAUCAUAUAUUUUCUGACAUAUUGAAAUUACUGGGGGACCAUUACCCUUUACCAGUGGGGCAAUUUAAUUUCUCCAUAUCUUUGUUCAGAUGCACCUAAGAUUCUUGGACUUUAUAACACAGACUCUAACAUGCAUUUCAUAGGCAAUGUGAAAGUGGCAUCAGGAAUUUUGGAGAGGACUGGGUGUAAUUGCACAGCUGUAAUUGCACCAUCAAACACAGCCCUUUUCUCCAAAAGAGGCAAUCCUGCAUGCUUGAUGACAGGGAGUGAUGUACAUGGUGACAAGAACUAAUAAAACAUUUGCCUAAAUUCUAUUUUGGGGUUUGUUUUUCAGACUUGAGGCCCAUCAGGAGGCUAAAGAUGAGCAUCAAACAAGCAUCAGCUAAUGCUUUAGUCAAUCCUUGUGUGUUCCAGUCCUGGGUGAGUCCCAGUGCUGGGGUCCUUUCAGCCAGGUGUUUCUCUUUUGGAAUCCCAAAUGCAGGCUGAGCCCUGGUGAUGCAGGUAACAGCAGCGAGCAGUUUUGCAUUAGUUAAUGAACUACAUAUAGUUGUCAAAGGGUAUCAUGUGUUUGCAGCUGGGGCUGCACUCCCACAAGUCUCUGCUGGAAAGAAGCUUCAAGAAAGAGGGAUAAAAGCAGAGCUGUGGGGUGAGAAGGGAAGAGGUAAGGGAUGCAGUUCUGGGGCACUGAUUUACAGCUGUAAAGUGGGUUUGGAAGGAAGGCUGAGAAGAUUGGGGCAUCCAGGAUAUCUUCAGUCUGUGGAGAAGAGCCUUUCCCAGAAUGGAGGUGCUGUAGAAAACACUUUUGUGGGUGUAUUCUUCAAACAGUCCUGACUUCUGCAGAAGAUGUCAAGAAAUCCCCAAGAACACAUGGAACAAGACUGUCCAGGAAGAGGCAAAGGCCAGAAAACCCUCUGCUUUUUCCCAGUCUAUACAUGUUAUGCAGUACUUUCUUUAAGCUCUAUAUUCUAAGGAUUUUGUUCCUUGGCUGGGUGAGGCUCUGAGCACAGUGUGCUCCAAGAUGAUGACAUGGAGCCUUCAGCAGGAAAACUGGCAUGUGGCUUGCAACUGAAAAUGAAGGCAGAUUUUUGACAUUCCAAUUCCAGGUUCAGGGUCCUCUGAUCACUCAGCAGCUUUUAAUUGAGGGAGAGUCUCCACUUUUCAGUGUAAUGCCAAAGAGGAGUGCUGGAUUAAUUUUAUUUAUUAUUCAUUUUAUGGAGUCAUUUUUCCUCACAGUGUAGAAGAAAAUCAAAUGUGGCACUACAAAGGAAGCUGGUGAUGCUGUGUGUUCUGUUAGUUAGAUGGGAGAAGAUGCUGGAGCCAGUAUAAACUGUGUGAGUUAAUGAGUAUAACUACCUGUUUGCAACACUAAUCCUCUGACAGGGCACUCAUGCUACCCUAACAAGCAACCAAGUUGUGAUGAAAAUUGUAAUUUGUGUCCCAAACUUUGCUAGUCAGAGUCACUGGAGCUCUGCAAGGAAGGUCAAACUGCAUGAAUCUUAAUGUGCCAUCUGAAUUCCAGGUAUUAUUUGGAAUGGAAUGAAGAUGUCUGAGGGUAAAGAGUGUAUUGUUCUAAAACAUUUAAUGUGCAAAAGAAAAUGGGCUGUACUCUGCCAUCCUUAAAACAUAAGAGGUAAAAUCCAUAAAUAUAGUAUGGGCAUAAAUAGUGCAUUUUUAUGGGCAAGAACAGUACAUUUCUUAGUCUGUUGCACAGUCAGCCUUUUGGCAUACUAAUUGCUGAAAUCAUAAACAUCCUUAGCUUCAAGCUGCUUGCUGGAGUUAUCCUGCUAAAUCUUUAUAGAGAAAGUUAAAAAGUAAAAAAACCAGCACAAACUAUAGCUACUUCUUCCCCAAUUCUCCUCUAAUGACACUGCUGUUCUAAUAAAGUGAUUAGACUUUCUUACCCCA
rnacentral:lncRNA from 1 species